UGUCCCAAACCACGAAAUCAAGGUGGCUAUGGCGGUUCCAGCAGCAGCAGAAGCUAUGGCAGUGGCAGAAGGUUUUAAUUAACUGCCAGGAAACAAAGCUUAGCAGGAGAGGAGAGCCAGAGAAGUGACAGGGAAGCUACAGGUUACAACAGAUUUGUGAACUCAGCCAAGCACAGUGGUGGCA